AGUCUGCAACUCGACUACAUGAAGCUGGAAUCGCUAGUAAUCGCGAAUCAGAAUGUCGCGGUGAAUACGUUCCCGGGUCUUGUACACACCGCCCGUCACACCAUGGGAGUCGGAUAUGCCCGAAGUCAGUGACCCAACCAUAUGGAGGGAGCUGCCGAAGGUGGAGCCGAUAACUGGGGUGAAGUCGUAACAAGGUAUC
rnacentral:rRNA from 1 species